UGUCGUAUCACUGAUACACCUGCCGCAGGUCCAAAUAACCGCACGUGUCGUGACGUGUCAGUGCCUACAGUUACUCGCCAGGCGCGGUCUUCUGUCUGCAUUUAAGUGUCAACUUGUUAAACUGUGACGAGAAAUAUUGUGUUGUGUCGGUGUUGACGCGCAGUAACUAUAGCAACAGUAAACUUCCCCUCAGCGGUUACGCGCCUCCUCAGCUUGUUGACCGAAGUCCAAAGCUGGCUACAUUCAGAUGAAGACACUCUUGGUAUUGGGGAGUUGCAUACAAGCUUGAGUGAGUACCGUCCAGCGAUGUCUGCGGAAAUACCCAUAGAGAAAGCAUACCAGAGGACAUGCGUGGACUCAGAUCAGUCAGUUCAGUCUUCUGCAACUCUAACGGCCAUUUCUGCAGUCAGUGCCGUGGAGCGCCAAGGAGAAAGAUUGAAACCAUUCCCUGCUGCUUCCAACUAGGGUGCUGAAGCUGUAAAGACUGUUUAUCAGACUGUGCAACAGGCUCCAGAUGACCCAUAUGAAGUGGCUCAGCAGCAGAUUGAGCUGAUCCACAAGGUUCUGCAGGAGCAGAGUAAACUGAUGACUCUUCUAGAAAGAGAACAGCAGUGAGAGACAAGAAAACACGCAGGCUGAAGUUUGGCUGCUGGAAGCUUUUCCUGAGAGAUUCUCAGAGAUACUCAUACCCACAACAGUACAGUAUGUUCCUCGUUUAACGUGUUUCUGAUUAUCCAUUUAUUUUAGGAUAGCACACGCACUGUAGCUUUUGUUUUGUCACAGUGAAAAGAGCCAAUGAGUUCAAUUAGAGUACACACAAGUAAAACGGCUAUACAUGUUUCCCAUUUUAGAGUAGCGGCCUGAAUUUACAGUGGACUUUGAAUAUCCACAGUGUUUUUGUCUUAUUACUGCAAUUGAUAUUGAAAUUACAUGUACGAAUGUCAUACUUAAAUUACCCUCUUUAGGGGUGCUAACAAGUUUUUAAAGCUCAAGUUCAACAUUGCUUUUUACGUUUUAGUGUAGAAAUGUCCUUUACAAAAACACAAAACUUAUAUAUUAAUUAAAAAGGGUUGUUUAA